AUCCUAGACAGGGCAAAAAAGGACUCCAAAUUAAAAAAAAGAUAAAAAUGAAAGACUGGUGCAUUGUGCAGUUUAGCACUGGUGGUACAGAAAUAGUCCCUAGAUCAUGGAUAAAUGGGGAGAAAUUGUCAUGGCCUCCAUAUCCUCCGUGAGACACAUUCAGGAUCCACGACGCAGUAAAGAGGAGAGUUCAUCCUGGUGCAACAUGGCUCACCUAUGCACCAGUCCGACUUCUAAUAAGCCAUGACACAUUUCACGAAGCAGAACGCAGUCUUCAGAAAUAUCUAAGUGAACACUGUGAUACGUCUGACCUUCAGUCCGAAGCUGAAACUCAGACCAGUCAUAAAAGAAAGCACAAGUAAAACUUUUUUUAUUUCACAAACAUAUCUUUGAUUGCUAAGAAUUUAUGAUCUUGUCUUUUAUACAUAUCUGUGGUGCUUGCAUACUGCAAUAUCACCACAUAAUAUAGUCCAAAAAGUGGAAGCUUGUAAACUUUUUAUAAAUGCAAAGCCGUGUACACUUGUGCACUUCA